rnacentral:rRNA from 1 species
GACGAACGCUGGCGGCGGGCCUAAUACAUGCAAGUAGGACGGAGUUGCGAACGGGUGAGUAACGCGUAGGUAACUACAUAGAAGAGGGGGAUAAAGAUUGGAAACGAUAGCUAAUACCGCAUACUAGUAGAUGGAACUGCGUGGUAUUAGCUAGUAGGUUGGGUAAUGGCCUAAAUAGGCAACGAUGCAUAGCCGACCUGAGAGGGUGGUCCAGCACACUGGGACUUAGACAAGGCCCAGCGUCCUACUGGAGGCAGCAGGAGGGAAUCUUCGGCAAUGGGGGGAACCCGUACCGAGCCACGCCGCGUGAGUGAAGAAAGUUUUCGGAUCGUAAAGCUCUUUUGUUAAGGAAGCGUUACUUAACCAGAAAGGGACGGCUAACUACGUGCCAGCAGCCGCGGUAAUAC